rnacentral:rRNA from 1 species
GAUUAACGCUGGCGGCAUGCCUAAUACAUGCAAGUCGAACGGAAGCAGCAAUGCUUUAGUGGCGAACGGGUGAGUAACACGUAGGGAACCUACCUAUACGACGAGGAUAACUACUGGAAACGGUAGCUAAAACUGGAUAGGAUCAAUUGAGGCAUCUUGAUUGAUUUAAAGAUCCUUCGGGAUUACGUAGAGAUGGCCCUGCGGCGCAUUAGCUAGUUGGUGAGGUAACGGCCCACCAAGGCGACGAUGCGUAGCUGAGCUGAGAGGCUAAACAGCCACACUGGGACUGAGACACGGCCCAGACUCCUACGGGAGGCAGCAGUCGGGAAUAUUGGGCAAUGGGCGAAAGCCUGACCCAGCAAUGCCGCGUGAGUGAUGAAGGUCUUCGGAUCGUAAAGCUCUGUCUUCAGGGACGAACAAGGUGACGGUACCUGAGGAGGAAGCCCCGGCUAACUACGUGCCAGCAGCCGCGGUAAAUCCACUAUCGAC